UACGGGGGGGGCAAGCGUUGUUCGGAAUUACUGGGCGUAAAGGGCUCGUAGGCGGCCAACUAAGUCAUACGUGAAAUCCCCCGGCUUAACCGGGGAACUGCGUCUGAUACUGGAUGGCUUGAGUUCGGGAGAGGGAUGCGGAAUUCCAGGUGUAGCGGUGAAAUGCGUAGAUAUCUGGAGGAACACCGGUGGCGAAGGCGGCAUCCUGGACCGAUACUGACGCUGAAAACCGAAAGCUAGGGGAGCAAACGGG
rnacentral:rRNA from 1 species